UAUACUGAAGGUGUGCUUGAUGACCGCGCCGUCAGCAUACAUAUUGAAAUUGUGCGCUUUAAAUGCUCUUUCGUAAUAGGUGUUAAACUCAGACCUUUCUUCUCCAUUUCAGUCGAAAUCCUCCACUGUCAACCGAAAAUUCCUUCAAGUUUCACAGAAAAAUUGCCCUAUUUCGGUCCCAAAAAAAGUCGCACUAUUUUCGGAACAACUUGUAGCACAGCUGUUCAAGUCUUGACCCCAAUUAUCCUCGGCUUCAUCCUCCACUUCUUCCUCGGAUUCAAGAACCCAAUUAUCACGUAGGUCUUGAACUUCUUGGGUAAAGCUAAAAUCACCAAAGACAUGAUUUCGGAAACAAUAUCGCACUCCAUAAUCCAAUGUUUAUGGCUAUAUGGAAGUCCCUACUUUGCACCCGGGCCCUUUCGAUUCCGUAUCCUUGUGGGGCAAGCUGACCACCGUAUUCAGAAGAUAUGGGAUAGUGCCACGUGUGAGGCAUUGAUGUGCCGAUGGUACGAUGGUGAGUUUUGGAAACACAUAGAGAGACAGUCGUUACAUGCACGGCCCGCAGCACGGGUAUGUCGGUACUAGCUGCAGGCAGGAUUUUAUGGUGUUGUGGCUGCUAGAUACACAACACUUGAUCAUGAUAUGAUAACAUCAUUGAUGGAGAGAUGGCGUCCAGAGACACAUACUUUUCGUCUUAGGACUGGUGAGGCUACGAUCACGCUGCAGGAUAUUGUUGUAUUAUACGGGUUACCUAUUGACGGAGAUCAUGUGACGGGGUUGGAUGAUACUAGGGGCGCUGAAGAAUGGUGUUCCUCGAUGAUGACAUUUCUCGGUUGAGCACCGAUGAUACUGAAUUUUCGGGGGGCAGGCUUAGAAUGUCAUCAUUGAUUGGCCAUAUAAAGUUACUUAAUCUGAUUACUGAUGAUACCCCUGAGUAUGAAGUCCAGCAUAGGGUUCGUUUUUACAUGAUGUGGAUCAUUGGAAGUAUGCUUGCGGUUGAUACAUCAGGUUGCAAGGUUAAGUUGAUGUAUCUACCGUUUCUUCAUGACCUAGACAAUGUUGGGCGAUACGCUUGGGGAGCAGCCACACUAGUUAUACUGUAUAGAUUUCUUUAUCGUGCUUCAUAGUGUAGGACUAGCACCGUCGGCGAAUUUCUGCCUUUGCUUCAGGUAUGGAUAUACGAGAGAAUUUUGCCCUUCAUGCUGCAGUUAAGUGAGCCAACUGUCCACAUUCACCAGCUUGUAGAUGGAAGACUCCAUUGUGCCGUGAUACAAUAGUAGCACAUCUGCUAUAAUUAUUUCGUGAUCAUUUAGAUGCACUAGUGGAGCAACGGGUACUAAAGACGUUUGGUUUAUUUUAUUUUUAUUUACUCUGUGGAUUAAUUAUGUAUUGUUUGUUAUUUACUAUUACUUUUUGAUAAAGUUCUCAUGGAUGCCAUAUACCACUGAGAUUAUGGCUAGCUUACUAGAGUAUUACCUGAUUGAUGAAGAUUUGUGGUGUGUUGUUGUACCCUUUUAUUUGCUGGGAUGCGGUUGAAUGGCAACAUCCGAACAGGGUGAUGCGUCAGUUUGGUUUAGUCCAGUUCAUCCCUAGGCCUAUACAAUGAGAUCAUAUACACUUUCAGAUGGACCGCAAGGGCCGACCUAACUUUGACUGGCAACAAUUCUACUCCAUUGAGGUACUACUAUGGCAUAGCCGAAGAAGAUACAUUGCGACAUCAGAGGUCCGAAGAGGGAAUGAGGAUGACACAGCAUAUAUACAGUGGUAUAAAGUUAUUAACCUUGUCGGGCAUCCUAAUCACCAAUUCACAGAGAUACCAGACCUUUGCCGGAAAGAGUAAAGUUCUGGCUCGUGCUCUACACCGCAUACACAGGAGAACGUUGAGUGUCCAGGAUAGCGACAUUCCAUAGGUUUGUGAGCUUGCACUUGAGUUGUCUAAGUUGUCUUUGGAUUCAUCUAAGGCUGCAGGUGAACAGAGUAGGGGUGACAUUGAGAUAGAGUAUCCAUGUUGUGAUACAUAUGUAGAGUCGCAUAAUGUACCGAGGCGUAGAGGUGGCAGAGCAGGUGGACACGGUGGGCAGGAGAUGCCCACGUAGAUAGGGGUUUGCUAGUGACGCUCCUGGUUCACAUGGCGCUCUUUCAGAUGUCCCUUCAUAUGACCAGUCAUGGAACGAGCAUGCAUGGUCGGAUACUAUAGGUCAUCUUCUUUAUGACAUGCCGGCUAACAUGCCGAGGCGAAUCCAGGAUUUAAAUUCUAUGGGUUCAACGUUUAAGAUUCUUAGCAUUGAACCCAUUAUAUUUUUGAAACUAUGGGUUCAAUCUACUAUUUAUUGUAAUUUUAAUGAAUUUUUACACAUUAAUUUAUACUACGCGUCAAAAGUUAUGGGUUCAAUUGAACCAUCACCGGAGUGCUGCAUCCGCCCCUGCUGACAUGUUUGGGGGUACACCUCCAUGACAUGGUGAGACGAGCGCUAGCGUCCCAAACAGCCAGUACGCUAUCCAAGUAGUUGUGUAUCGACCCUUGGGUCCAGAGUAUUCAUUUCAGACUCCGUGCCCGAUGCCACAGAUGGUGGGUUCUGAGUUUAAUCAUUAUUCACUUGUAGCAUACCCACAUCUACGAGACCAUGUUCAUAUUGAUCCAGUUCCCUUUUCAUUUGGCACGGAGUCGCAGGUAGUAGAUAUGUCCGAAGACACAACUGCAUUGGAGAUGUCCAGAGGAAGGGGACAACAUAGGCCAUAUGGUAGGCCACCAGAACGAGUUAGAUGUCAUGGCGUUGAUGCACCUGUAGUGAGGCGGACUAGGCCUGACGAUACAGAUGGGCAUGAGCAGGCACAUCAUCAUAGGCUUAGACGUCAUGCUGAUAUUCAUGCUAGGCGUUGUGACACAUGAAUGUAUUGUCAUGUUUAUUGUUACAUUAAUUUGCAGUUGCUGACUUGAUAUCGUUUCACGUGAAUGUAUUGUCUUGUUAAUCAUAACUUUUGAAUUGUUCGUGA